rnacentral:rRNA from 1 species
AUUGAACGCUGGCGGCAUGCCUUACACAUGCAAGUCGAACGGCAGCACGGGUGCUUGCACCUGGUGGCGAGUGGCGAACGGGUGAGUAAUACAUCGGAACGUACCUUAUCGUGGGGGAUAACGCAGCGAAAGCUGUGCUAAUACCGCAUACGCCCUGAGGGGGAAAGCGGGGGAUCGCAAGACCUCGCGCGAUUAGAGCGGCCGAUGCCUGAUUAGCUUGUUGGUGGGGUAAAAGCCCACCAAGGCGACGAUCAGUAGCUGGUCUGAGAGGACGAUCAGCCACACUGGGACUGAGACACGGCCCAGACUCCUACGGGAGGCAGCAGUGGGGAAUUUUGGACAAUGGGGGCAACCCUGAUCCAGCAAUGCCGCGUGAGUGAAGAAGGCCUUCGGGUUGUAAAGCUCUUUUGUCAGGGAAGAAACACCGGCUCUAACACAGUCCGGGAAUGACGGUACCUGAAGAAUAAGCACCGGCUAACUACGUGCCAGCAGCCGCCGCAG